GCCCUUUCUUUUUUCUCUUCUUAAGUCAAUUUGUGAAUUGUUUUCAUGUCAGCAGCUUCGCUGAGAGUCCCCUUCUCCACAUGAUCCCACCAAGUGAACAAAAAGUUGUCCACAACAAGCCUGAACCAAGGGGAGAGCUUCAACCCCUCUUCUCCAGCAUCUGCUUUUCUUAGAAGCUCCUUCAACUGCUCCUUGUUUACAUAUUUCACGUCCGCCACUUCGUCUGGGUUCGGGUUCACAUUGACAUCUCGAACAAUGAAGAGGAGAUAGUCCAAUUCAUGCUCCCCCCAUUUGCCAUCAGAGGGUGCCUUGUAUAGCAUGCGACCGAGGGGAAUGAACUGGUCAACUGGAACGUCUUCAGCAGGAAUACCAAGUUCGUCCCAAAGCUUCCUCUGGGCAGCAUUCCUUGCACCAAGAGCAUCCUCCUCAAUUAGUUCAGAUUCUCUAUACAAUGGAUGACUGCAGCAAGUGUUCGUCCAGACAAGCGGAAACGUCACUUUUGUUGCAGACCGUUGCUGAAGAAGCAAUUCGUAUUUGGAAUUGAAUAAAAAGACACUGAAAGCGCGAUGAAGCCAGUUCUUAGAUUCGAUAUUUUCCAUCAAGUGACAGUUAUACUUGGAUUCAUGACCAACGACACGGUCAUUCUCAUCAACUAAAAUGCACUCG
rnacentral:misc_RNA from 1 species